ACACAAUCUUAAAAACUGUCGAUCUUAGCAAAUUCUUUCCAAGUGUUUCUUUUGUGUUUUUAACCUAUAAAAGAUGAUGGAGUGUAUUUUUUAGACUUCAGUUUUAUCUUGUCCCCUUUCCCAACUGUGCUUGGCUUAACAGCUGUUGGUUUGCCCUUAGAUUUGGAUUUAAUUGUACAGGACCAAAAUAUUUCCCAGUAGAUUAGCUUGCUAAAUAUGCCACUUGUGAUUCCCCCUUGAGAACCAGAUUAAUCACAGCUAUCUACCU
rnacentral:lncRNA from 1 species